AUUGAACGCUGGCGGCAGGCCUAACACAUGCAAGUCGAGCGGAUGAAGGGAGCUUGCUCCUGGAUCCAGCGGCGGACGGGUGAGUAAUGCCUAGGAAUCUGCCUGGCAGUGGUGGAUAACGUCCGGAAACGGGCGCUAAUACCGCAUACGUCCUGAGGGAGAAAGUGGGGGAUCUUCGGACCUCACGCUAUCAGAUGAGCCUAGGUCGGGUUAGCUAGUUGGUGGGGUAAAGGCCUACCAAGGCGACGAUCCGUAACUGGUCUGAGAGGAUGAUCAGUCACACUGGAACUGAGACACGGUCCAGACUCCUACGGGAGGCAGCAGUGGGGAAUAUUGGACAAUGGGCGAAAGCCUGAUCCAGCCAUGCCGCGUGUGUGAAGAAGGUCUUCGGAUUGUAAAGCACUUUAAGUUGGGAGGAAGGGCAGUAAGUUAAUACCUUGCUGUUUUGACGUUACCAACAGAAUAAGCACCGGCUAACUUCGUG
rnacentral:rRNA from 1 species